rnacentral:rRNA from 1 species
GAUGAACGCUGGCGGCGUGCCUAAUACAUGCAAGUCGAGCGAACGGACGAGAAGCUUGCUUCUCUGAUGUUAGCGGCGGACGGGUGAGUAACACGUGGAUAACCUACCUAUAAGACUGGGAUAACUUCGGGAAACCGUAGCUAAUACCGGAUAAUAUUUUGAACCGCAUGGUUCAAAGGUGAAAGACGGUCUUGCUGUCACUUAUAGAUGGAUCCGCGCUGCAUUAGCUAGUUGGUAAGGUAACGGCUUACCAAGGCAACGAUGCAUAGCCGACCUGAGAGGGUGAUCGGCCACACUGGAACUGAGACACGGUCCAGACUCCUACGGGAGGCAGCAGUAGGGAAUCUUCCGCAAUGGGCGAAAGCCUGACGGAGCAACGCCGCGUGAGUGAUGAAGGUCUUCGGAUCGUAAAACUCUGUUAUUAGGGAAGAACAUAUGUGUAAGUAACUGUGCACAUCUUGACGGUACCUAAUCAGAAAGCCACGGCUAACUACGU